rnacentral:ncRNA from 1 species
CAGACACGGAAAGGAUUGACAGAUUGAUAGCUCUUUCUCGAUUCUGUGGGGGGUGGUGCAUGGCCGUUCUUAGUUGGUGGAUUGAUUUGUCUGGUUAAUUCCGAUAACCCCCGAGCAUGCUCAAAUAAAUUUGUUAGUCUCUAAGGUGCCACAAGUAUUCCUUUUCUUUUUGCGAAUACAGACUAACACGUCUGCUACUCUGAAAC